rnacentral:rRNA from 1 species
CCUACGGGGCGCUGCAGUGGGGAAUAUUGGACAAUGGGCGAAAGCCUGAUCCAGCCAUGCCGCGUGUGUGAAGAAGGCCUUCGGGUUGUAAAGCACUUUCAGUGGGGAAGAAAGCCUUGGGGCUAAUACCCUCGAGGAAGGACAUCACCCACAGAAGAAGCACCGGCUAACUCCGUGCCAGCAGCCGCGGUAAUACGGAGGGUGCGAGCGUUAAUCGGAAUUACUGGGCGUAAAGCGCGCGUAGGCGGUCUGAUAAGCCGGUUGUGAAAGCCCCGGGCUCAACCUGGGAACGGCAUCCGGAACUGUCAGGCUAGAGUGCAGGAGAGGAAGGUAGAAUUCCCGGUGUAGCGGUGAAAUGCGUAGAGAUCGGGAGGAAUACCAGUGGCGAAGGCGGCCUUCUGGACUGACACUGACGCUGAGGUGCGAAAGCGUGGGUAGCAAACAGGAUUAGAUCCCGAGUAGUC